AACUAACAGAUUUACUUCGGUAAUGACGUUAGGAAAGCGAGCGGCGGAUGGGUGAGUAACACGUGGGGAACCUGCCCCAUAGUCUGGGAUACCACUUGGAAACAGGUGCUAAUACCGGAUAAGAAAGCAGAUCGCAUGAUCAGCUUUUAAAAGGCGGCGUAAGCUGUCGCUAUGGGAUGGCCCCGCGGUGCAUUAGCUAGUUGGUAAGGUAAAGGCUUACCAAGGCGAUGAUGCAUAGCCGAGUUGAGAGACUGAUCGGCCACAUUGGGACUGAGACACGGCCCAAACUCCUACGGGAGGCAGCAGUAGGGAAUCUUCCACAAUGGACGCAAGUCUGAUGGAGCAACGCCGCGUGAGUGAAGAAGGUUUUCGGAUCGUAAAGCUCUGUUGUUGGUGAAGAAGGAUAGAGGUAGUAACUGGCCUUUAUUUGACGGUAAUCAACCAGAAAGUCACGGCUAACUACGUGCCAGCAGCCGCGGUAAUACGUAGGUGGCAAGCGUUGUCCGGAUUUAUUGGGCGCAAAGCGAGCGCAGGCGGAAGAAUAAGUCUGAUGUGAAAGCCCUCGGCUUAACCGAGGAACUGCAUCGGAAACUGUUUUUCUUGAGUGCAGAAGAGGAGAGUGGAACUCCAUGUGUAGCGGUGGAAUGCGUAGAUAUAUGGAAGAACACCAGUGGCGAAGGCGGCUCUCUGG
rnacentral:rRNA from 1 species